ACAGAGGGUGCGAGCGUUAAUCGGAAUUACUGGGCGUAAAGCGCGCGUAGGUGGUUUUGUAAGUCGGGUGUGAAAGCCCCGGGCUCAACCUGGGAACUGCAUUCGAGACUGCAUUACUCGAGUAUGGGAGAGGGCAGUGGAAUUUCCGGUGUAGCGGUGAAAUGCGUAGAUAUCGGGAGGAACACCAGUGGCGAAGGCGGCACUCUGGGCCAGUACUGACACUGAGGAGCGAAAGCGUGGGGAGCGAACAGGA
rnacentral:rRNA from 1 species